rnacentral:rRNA from 1 species
UACGGGGGGGGCAAGCGUUGUUCGGAAUUACUGGGCGUAAAGGCUCGUAGGCGGCCAACUAAGUCAGACGUGAAAUCCCUCAGCUUAACUGGGGAACUGCGUGUGAUACUGGAUGGCUUGGAUUUGGGAGAGGGAUGCGGAAUUCCAGGUGUAGCGGUGAAAUGCGUAGAUAUCUGGAGGAACACCGAUGGCGAAGGCAGGUCUCUGGGCCACUACUGACGCUGAGAAGCGAAAGCAUGGGGAGCGAACAGG